rnacentral:rRNA from 1 species
GUCUACGGCCAUACCACCCUGAACGCGCCCGAUCUCGUCUGAUCUCGGAAGCUAUGCAGGGUCGGGCCUGUUUAGUACUUAGAUGGCAGUAUCAAAGUCUGGAUUCUGAUCAUA